rnacentral:rRNA from 1 species
GAAACGAUGCUAAGACUGGAUAGGAAAUAAAAAGGCAUCUUUUUAUUUUUAAAAGACCUUUUUCGGAAGGUAUGCUUAAAGAGGGGCUUGCGUCACAUUAGUUAGUUGGCAGGGUAAAGGCCUACCAAGACUAUGAUGUGUAGCUGGACUGAGAGGUUGAACAGCCACAUUGGGACUGAGACACGGCCCAAACUCCUACGGGAGGCAGCAGUAGGGAAUUUUCGGCAAUGGAGGAAACUCUGACCGAGCAACGCCGCGUGAACGAUGAAGUAUUUCGGUAUGUAAAGUUCUUUUAUUGAAGAAGAAAAAAUAGUGGAAAAACUAUCUUGACGAUAUUCAAUGAAUAAGCCCCGGCAAACUAUGUGCCAGCAGCCGCGGUAAUACAUAGGGGGCGAGCGUUAUCCGGAAUUAUUGGGCGUAAAGGGUGCGUAGGCGGUUUAAUAAGUCUAUAGUUUAAUUUCAGUGCUUAACACUGUCCUGCUAUAGAAACUAUUAGACUAGAGUGAGAUAGAGGCAAGUGGAAUUCCAUGUGUAGCGGUAAAAUGCGUAAAUAUAUGGAGGAACACCAGAGGCGUAGGCGGCUUGCUGGGUCUUUACUGACGCUGAGGCACGAAAGCGUGGGGAGCAAACAGGAUUAGAUACCCUGGUAGUCCACGCCGUAAACGAUGAGUACUAAGUGUCGGGAUUACUCGGUACUGAAGUUAACACAUUAAGUACUCCGCCUGAGUAGUACGUACGCAAGUAUGAAACUUAAAGGAAUUGACGGGACUCCGCACAAGCGGUGGAUCAUGUUGUUUAAUUCGAAGAUACACGAAAAACCUUACCAGGUCUUGACAUACUCUGCAAAGCUAUAGCAAUAUAGUGGAGGUUAUCAGGGAUACAGGUGGUGCAUGGUUGUCGUCAGCUCGUGUCGUGAGAUGUUAGGUUAAGUCCUAAAACGAGCGCAACCCUUGUCAUUAGUUGCCAGCAUGUCAUGAUGGGCACUUUAAUGAGACUGCCAAUGAAAAAUUGGAGGAAGGUGAGGAUCACGUCAAAUCAUCAUGCCCCUUAUGAUCUGGGCUACAAACGUGAUACAAUGGCUGUUACAAAGAGUAGCUGAAACGCAAGUUUAUAGCCAAUCUCAUAAAAGCAGUCUCAGUUCGGAUUGAAGUCUGCAACUCGACUUCAUGAAGUUGGAAUCGCUAGUAAUCGCGAAUCAGCAUGUCGCGGUGAAUACGUUCUCGGGGUUUGUACACACCGCCCGUCA